rnacentral:rRNA from 1 species
GUUGAACGCUGGCGGCAGGCCUAACACAUGCAAGUCGAACGGUAACAGGAAGAAGCUUGCUUCUUUGCUGACGAGUGGCGGACGGGUGAGUAAUGUCUGGGAAACUGCCUGAUGGAGGGGGAUAACUACUGGAAACGGUAGCUAAUACCGCAUAACGUCGCAAGACCAAAGAGGGGGACCUUCGGGCCUCUUGCCAUCGGAUGUGCCCAGAUGGGAUUAGCUAGUAGGUGGGGUAACGGCUCACCUAGGCGACGAUCCCUAGCUGGUCUGAGAGGAUGACCAGCCACACUGGAACUGAGACACGGUCCAGACUCCUACGGGAGGCAGCAGUGGGGAAUAUUGCACAAUGGGCGCAAGCCUGAUGCAGCCAUGCCGCGUGUAUGAAGAAGGCCUUCGGGUUGUAAAGUACUUUCAGCGGGGAGGAAGGGAGUAAAGUUAAUACCUUUGCUCAUUGACGUUACCCGCAGAAGAAGCACCGGCUAACUCCGU